ACUACUAUAACACAACCAAUAAAUAACAACAGUAAUGUAGGCCAUGAGUGUGUAAAAUACAAAAGCUCAGGGACAUUCAUGGUAAUGUUACAUGUCAAUGACCACAUCAGCCCCGUUAGCUUUGUUUCUCUCUCUGUCUCUCCAAGUUUAUGGCAGGCUGCCCUGCUGCUUGCUCUCCCUCCUUCUGUUCUCCAAACCAUCUGUCCCCCUUUCCAGGCAGCUAUUCUCUGAUACAGAGCAGUUCAUCUGCUUGUUCUUUCCUCCAGCACCCUAAUCCAUCAGUCCAAUAGUGUAUUGUCUCCAAUCCCACAUUCCUAAGGCAAGGCCAGACUUGAACCUUUCAAUCACCCUCCCUUUCGGGGGGCCUUCCAGCAUCGAAACCCAGUAAUAUCACCUUACAUAGGCAUUGUGGAAAAUCUCCUUUGGAUACAGAUAUUCAGAAAAUGAAAACAUACAUAUAUGCCGAUACUGUCCAGCCAUUGGCAACACCUACAGACUGCAUGAAGCCAGCUAGUGAUGAAAUUUUGUGCAAAGAUUUUCACUAGUGAUGCCCAGCUCUAAUUUACACGCACUGGAUGUUCAAUAAUGAGAUUCUGCAUUAAAAGUGACUUAAAAAGGGGGGAAAAGAUGCAAAUACAUUUGCCGAGUAGCUGGGAAAAUGCAAGAAUUCACUUGCUAAAUGUUGUUGCUCCUGGUGCCCCAGAACGCGUAUUGGUAUUUAGAGUCUUGUGCAGCACAGAGCACACCCUUCACACUUAACAAAUAAUAUAUGAAAAAAUAUGGACUAGGGCUCUAACACUUCCAGGGACAUCUCUUAUGCUCUCUGAGGAAAAUACUGCUACGGUAAUGUAACUCAAACUGGAAGAAACUUUAAGUACAACCACUGUACUUAAGCUCACCUUGAAAUUCACCAAUUAUGCUGCCCUAUCUCUUAAACCUUAUGUGAGCUGAAGAGGUACCUGAGUCCCCAGCAUCAUUCUUACAUCACAAAUAAAUACUCAAGCAGGAAAGCCUUCAAAACUUGGCGUGUCUGAGCAACAUACUCUAGGUGUUUGAUUUUUUUCAUUGGGCCUUUAAAUUAGAGACAGCAUUUUUUUUCCUGGUUGGAAGUAAUGUAAUAAAGAAGUGCAUCUUCUUCUUUCAUUUGCAAUUUAUGGACAGUAUCCUCAAGAAACUGGCUUCUGGGCAUGAAAGCUAUUAAAUAUGUAUGUUGUUUGCAAAAGAUAUAGCUUCCACUAUACGUUUUCUGACUUAUUCACAAAAGAUCUUAAUAUAACCUUGCCACAUAAGAGGGCUAAGGGAAGUGUGCAAGUGACCAUACUGUAAAGCUACUGCUAUUGUAAUGAGACUAAGGGAAAUGGUAAAUAGCUUCCAUUUGUACCAGGUAGCAGGAACACUUUGCCUUACUAAUGCUGCAGAAACAGUCACUCAAAUGAAGGAUACAGUGAACCCCAUUCCAUACGAGGUGUCUUGUGGUCUAAGGGUUAAUCAGAUGUUCUCUCCUGCAUUUCAUGCCGAGUGCUAAAAACAUUCAGAAGUUGAAGACGUGGGCUACAUUUACUGCAGAACGUACUGUGCUCACCACAGCUCAAUGUCAAGGGGAGGGCACUGCACUUCCUGCUGGCCUGGAGAAUGGAGCCAGGAAAUGGAGUCUAACAGAUGAUGGAUGGAAAAAGGAUGAUGAGUGAAACCGAGAGCGAGAGAGGCAACAUCUGCAUUGUCACAUUUCACCUGAAUAAGGAAUGCUUGGGGAGUCCAUGGCUUCCCAAAAGAGGUUGACAC